rnacentral:tRNA from 1 species
CAUUAAAUGACCGAAUUGUAAGUUUUGAUUUUUUAAAUCAAUUAUAAUAGUUUAACAUCUAUUUUUAAUGA